rnacentral:rRNA from 1 species
UGGGGAAUUUUGGACAAUGGGCGAAAGCCUGAUCCAGCAAUGCCGCGUGUGUGAAGAAGGCCUUCGGGUUGUAAAGCACUUUUGUCCGGAAAGAAAUCCUUGGCUCUAAUGCAGUCGGGGGAUGACGGUACCGGAAGAAUAAGCACCGGCUAACUACGUGCCAGCAGCCGCGGUAAUACGUAGGGUGCAAGCGUUAAUCGGAAUUACUGGGCGUAAAGCGUGCGCAGGCGGUUUGCUAAGACCGAUGUGAAAUCCCCGGGCUCAACCUGGGAACUGCAUUGGUGACUGGCAGGCUAGAGUAUGGCAGAGGGGGGUAGAAUUCCACGUGUAGCAGUGAAAUGCGUAGAGAUGUGGAGGAAUACCGAUGGCGAAGACAGCCCCCUGGGCCAAUACUGACGCUCAUGCACGAAAGCGUGGGGAGCAAACAGGAUUNGAUACCCUGGUAGUCACGCCCUAAACGAUGUCACUAGUUGUUGGGGAUCAUUUCCUUAGUAACGUAGCUAACGCGUGAAGUUGACCGCCUGGGGAGUAC